rnacentral:rRNA from 1 species
GACGAACGCUGGCGGCGUGCUUAACACAUGCAAGUCGAACGGAAAGGCCUGUCCUUCCUUGUGUUGGACGGGUACUCGAGUGGCGAACGGGUGAGUAACACGUGAGUGAUCUGCCCCCAACUUGGGUAUAAGCCUGGGAAACUGGGUCUAAUUCCCGAUAGGACUGCAGGGUGGUGCCUGUGGUGGAAAACGAUUUUCUAGUGGUUGGGGAUGAGCUCGCGGCCUAUCAGCUUGUUGGUGGGGUAAUGGCCUACCAAGGCGGCGACGGGUAGCCGGCCUGGGAGGGUGGACGGCCACAUUGGGACUGAGAUACGGCCCAGACUCCUACGGGAGGCAGCAGUGGGGAAUAUUGCACAAUGGGCGGAAGCCUGAUGCAGCGACGCCGCGUGGGGGAUGACGGCCUUCGGGUUGUAAACUCCUUUCGACCGCGAGGAAGCCGCCUGGUUGGAAGGGUGGUGACGGUAGUGGUAGAAGAAGCACUGGCUAACUACGU